GUUCUUCUGUUACUUUGUUACAUGCAAGUAGUGAGUUACGUAUCCCAAUGGCUGGCGUCAGUUUUAACAUGCCCAGACAUAAUCAGGUUCUGGAAGCUGGACGUCCAAGAUCAAGAUAUCAGCAGGUUCGAUGUCAGAUGAGGAAACGAAGUCUCAAAGAGUAUAAGUAGCUUAUAGAAGAUGACUCACCAAAGAAAUAGCAGAGAUAUGUCUCAAAGUAGGUCCUAAUCUCCAAGUAUUAUGCUCUUGCUGUUUUACUUCUCCACCCAGGGAGUAGUAAACUGUCAUCGAGGGUUAUUUAUCGAGAGUGCUUUUUAAAUGAGGAAGUUGAAUUAUUCUUGUUGAAGGCACUAAUCACAUUAUCUUGGGCACUCUGUUGGCAACAUACCAGGAGGAUUUACAUAAGUCGUAGCCUAGCAGCUAUGCUUGAUGUUUUCGAAUUAUUCUGAUCAUUAGAAAACCAGAGAAGAUUUUAGUACAUAUUACGAUUUGCAAUGUAAUCAACCAAACCAAGCUAAUUUUUGGUGGUACUAAAUCAAGAAGCCUUGGCCAAGAAUCCAUAUCCAUUUUGUAGGACGCUUCUCCAAGAUGUUCUUGAAUUGUUUUUAUCUCCCUCUCAUAUUGACUCAAAGUGCCCCUACUUUUAUUUCUGACAUUAGCAGUACCCACAUCUCUGUGUUCCUUAUAGGAAACGCAGAUUCUGGAUCCCAUCAUGCCUGACAGUAUGAGCUUUUAUCACAGUAGAGCUAUGGAAUUUGCAGACAGGAACUUCUUCAGAACUGUCUCAUUUUAUUCCAUAGCCUUGUGGGCUAAAGAUGUUUCGAAGAGGAUCGCUGGAUGAAAUUGAACACCUCCAAUGUGCAUAAUUCCUCGACAUUGAUAACUCUAUAUUGAUGACAGGAAGCAUUUAUCUUGGUCCUUGGAUCAUUGUCUUUGGCAGAAGAACAAGAUGGAUGGAAUUAUACAAAUUCCAUUUUAUGUUUUGUUGAGGAAAAUAUACACUUUUUGAUAGGAUAAAUGACAAUUUUGCUGGUUCACUUAGUCAUCAUUUGAGUAUAUUUAAAUGUUCUUCAAGGCACCUGACACUAUGUGAUAGUAUCCUGUUGAUGUAUUUGUUUACAUAUUAUUUGUCUCCAGCAUCUAGAACAUGAACUCUGAAAGAGCAGAGCUCUUGUCUUUUCUGUUUAACACAGUGUCCAGCUGUGCCUGGCACCUGGUAGGGACUUGAUAAAUAUUGAUUGAAUGAAUGAACUAAUGAAAUAAAGUAAAUUAUUAGAUGGGACUGGGAUCUUGAAACCCAAAUUCAAUAUUUUGGUAGAAAUAUUUUGUAAGAAAUACUAAAAACAGACGAAGGAGAUUAUGGAAACAUGAUUAAAUGAGCAAAAUAAAGUCUAAAUCUAUCAUCUUUAUCAGAUCCAUGUUUCCUUAUCUGUAAAUUGGGAGUAAUUGUAGUUACCUGGCAGGUUUUGGGGAAGAUUAAAGUUAAUUCAUGUACAUGUGGGUGGUAUGUAGGUAAGUGCUCAAUGAAUAUUAAUGUAGAAUUAAGAGUGGAGGCAAAGGAAGUUGUGAGGAUUAUUAAUCCAUAGACUGAACACAACAUUUUCAUGGGAAUUCUGCUUCCAAGACUCAAGUUUUAUUCUAAUUUAAUAUGUGUGUUUAUUCAUAGGUAUAGAGCUCUUUCUCUAUACUUUAUUUCACCUAAUUCUCAUUCACCAUAAUCUUGCCUAGUGGUUACAGAUAGGAGUCAGAGGUAGGGCCCAGAUUUGAGUUUGGAGAUUCCCAAACUUUCUUUUUGGGAGUGGACCCUGAGCUUCCCCAGUGACUUCUCCUCUGGUCAUGGACACCUCCUCUUGCCUACCUGGCCAGGCUUGCCUUUCCAGCUCACUUUUGCAUUGCUUUUGUGGAAUUCAGACCAGGAGCCCCUUGAGGGCAGGGACUGUCUCUAUUGUUCUAUUUGCAAAAUCCUAGUUGCAGUCUGAUUGUUUAUGUGUUUAUUAGCACAGGGUUGUGCAAAGAUAUUGCCCUACCUGGUUUCUUUAUGUUCUGUUUAAGCAAAUACACAGGAAUUUUCCUUUGCCUCUCCCUCCACUCCAUUUCCUGCUCCCCUCCCCUCACAGUCUGAACACCUUCUGUGUCAUCCAGUGAACUCUGUGGGAAAGGAAAGCAGGUGGAAGCAAGCUUAAUGGUAGGGUGGGAAUGUCUGCUCCCAGUCCCCAUCUCCUGUGUCUCCCCUGGCUUUUGCCUGUCUUCUCUGCCUCUCAGUUAUAAAACAUCAGAUUUAAGCCUAGCUUGCUACAUGUAGAAUCAUCAAGAAGACAAUGCUGUUAAUUAUAGGUUGAAAAUGCAAAUAGCAAGGACUAGAGAAACUUCAGGUUGAAAGGAAGCAAAGGGAUUCAAAGAGAUGGAACUCCCACCAUCCUCAGUUUAACCAGUGUUUAUUGAACCCUGUGAUGUAUGAAGUACUUGUCCUGUAAUUACCUCUCUAGCUUGCUGGACUGAUGGUCAUUCUUAUCAUACCUGGAUACUUCUGGUGAGUGUCAGCUCACUCAGGAAGAGAGUUCAGGAUGGUAGUUAAGGGCUUGGGUUUAUUUUUGGAGGGAAUAACAUGUGCAGAAAACAUAGAGUGUGGAAAAUACAUGGGCUGUGUGACAUCAGAUGAAUGGUCAGCCACAGCUAAAGUUACAAAGAUUGAGAGUCUUUUCCUCCAUAUAAUCUAAGUUGUAGAUUGCACUGAGCAAAACAAAUUUCAUGUCUUAUGAAUUUUUUCCCCAAAUGAUUCAAGAGUACAUUCUAGGUAGUACACACAGAUGCUUAUGUAAAACUCAUUUGGUAACAGGAGAGCAUUUAGAAACAAAACAAAACCAAAACUGUUCCUGGUAUUAUUAGGAAGAUAGUGUAGGUAUGUUUCAAAAAGUAAAGCACUUUGUCAAGAGACUUAGUACUGACUGAGGAAAACUGUAGAAUUAUCAUGUAGUAAUCAAAGGAGGGAAUUCCCAAAAUAUAAGAGAUGAUUGUAAGAGUUAUUGAUAUGAAGGUAACACCUGGACUCGCCGCUGCUAUUGAGGUAGCUUCAGUUGAAAAUACGUGCUAACAUCAUCUUUUAUAAGUGAAGUAGUGCUAAAAACUUUCUAUUAAUGGAAUGUUAGUGCUGGGAAAGAAUCAUCACAAUCUGAAGCUAUCAGAAACCUUCCGAAUACUUCAACUGGGAUGGCCUUAAGAGAAUAUCUAGUUCAAUCCCUUGUUUUACGGAUGAGCAGACUGAGGUUCAGAGAGCAUGGGUUUUAACGUCAGAAAGAUUUGGGUUCAAAUCCUUAAUCUCUAAAUUGAUGAUACUGUCUCUCAGUGUUUCUAGCCAAAUGAUCUCAGACAAAUUAUGUAAUUUCUGUAAACUUCUGUUUCCUCAUCUCUUAAGAUGCUUUCCUCUUUAGUUCUGUUGAGGGUUAAAUCAAACUCUAUUCUUGUUUUUUUCUUAAAGAUUGGCACCUGAGCUAACAUCUGUUGCCAAUCUUCU